GAUGAACGCUGGCGGCGUGCCUAAUACAUGCAAGUCGAGCGAACGGACGAGAAGCUUGCUUCUCUGAUGUUAGCGGCGGACGGGUGAGUAACACGUGGAUAACCUACCUAUAAGACUGGGAUAACUUCGGGAAACCGGAGCUAAUACCGGAUAAUAUUUUGAACCGCAUGGUUCAAAAGUUAAAGACGGUCUUGCUUUCACUUAUAGAUGGAUCCGCGCUGCAUUAGCUAGUUGGUAAGGUAACGGCUUACCAAGGCAACGAUGCAUAGCCGACCUGAGAGGGUGAUCGGCCACACUGGAACUGAGACACGGUCAAGACUCCUACGGGAGGCAGCAGUAGGGAAUCUUCCGCAAUGGGCGAAAGCCUGACGGAGCAACGCCGCGUGAGUGAUGAAGGUCUUCGGAUCGUAAAACUCUGUUAUUAGGGAAGAACAUAUGUGUAAGUAACUGUGCACAUCUUGACGGUACCUAAUCAGAAAGCCACGGCUAACUACGUG
rnacentral:rRNA from 1 species